UCUACACCCCUCUGGCAGUGAGUUGCUGGAGACCAGAAUCUGAUUAUUGAAGCAAGAUUCCAGCCUCCAAGACCUUCCCUGAAUUCCAAAGGGUGGAGUCCAACUGUUACUAAUCAAGGGAGGAACAGCCAAGAAACCACCCAAGGCAAGAUUGAAGGUACCAGAGAAACUAAUCAAGAUUAGGAAAACAACCACCUCAGACCAUGCACACCUAAACCUUGUCAGCAAUGGUGCACUGAAGUAUUGAAUUCUUGGGUCGGGAAGAUCCCUUGGAGAAGGAAUGGGCUAUCCACUCUAGCAUACUUGGGCUUCCCUGGUGG